rnacentral:rRNA from 1 species
UACGAAGGGGGCUAGCGUUGCUCGGAAUCACUGGGCGUAAAGGGUGCGUAGGCGGGUCUUUAAGUCAGGGGUGAAAUCCUGGAGCUCAACUCCAGAACUGCCUUUGAUACUGAAGAUCUUGAGUUCGGGAGAGGUGAGUGGAACUGCGAGUGUAGAGGUGAAAAUUCGUAGAUAUUCGCAAGAACACCAGUGGCGAAGGCGGCUCACUGCCCG